rnacentral:rRNA from 1 species
AAAUGAAUUGACGGGAGCCCGCACAAGCAGUGGAGUAUGUGGUUUAAUUCGAUGCAACGCGAAGAACCUUACCAGGACUUGACAUCCAAGGAAUCCGUCGUAAUGGAUGGAGUGCCCUUCGGGGAAUCUUGAGACAGGUGGUGCAUGGUUGUCGUCAGCUCGUGUCGUGAGAUGUUGGGUUAAGUCCCGCAACGAGCGCAACCCUUACGGUUAGUUGCUACGCAAGAGCACUCUAGCCGGACUGCCGUUGACAAAACGGAGGAAGGUGGGGACGACGUCAAAUCAUCAUGCCCCUUACGUUCUGGGCUACACACGUACUACAAUGGCGCAAACAAAGGGAAGCGAAGGAGCGAUCCGGAGCAAAACUCGAAAAUGCGUCCCAGUUCAGACUGUAGGCUGCAACUCGCCUAUACGAAGUUGGAAUUGCUAGUAAUCGCGGAUCAGCAUGCCGCGGUGAAUACGUUCCCGGGCUUUGUACACACCGCCCGU